AACGAACGCUGGCGGCAUGCCUAACACAUGCAAGUCGAACGAGACCUUCGGGUCUAGUGGCGCACGGGUGCGUAACGCGUGGGAACCUGCCCUUAGGUUCGGAAUAACUUCCCGAAAGGGGUGCUAAUACCGGAUAAUGUCUUCGGACCAAAGAUUUAUCGCCUUUGGAUGGGCCCGCGUUGGAUUAGCUAGUUGGUAGGGUAAAAGCCUACCAAGGCGACGAUCCAUAGCUGGUCUGAGAGGAUGAUCAGCCACACUGGGACUGAGACACGGCCCAGACUGCUACGGGAGGCAGCAGUGGGGAAUAUUGGACGAUGGGCGAAAGCCUGAUCCAGCAAUGCCGCGUGAGUGAUGAAGGCGUUAGGGUUGUAAAGCUCUUUUACCCGGGAUGAUAAUGACAGUACCGGGAGAAUAAGCUCCGGCUAACUCCGUG
rnacentral:rRNA from 1 species